rnacentral:sRNA from 2 species
CCAAGGUUCGACUCGAGCGAAGCGAGAGAACGUUGCCGCAGGCAAUGGCCCGAAGGCGAGGCGCUUUAGCGCCGAGUAAUCCUUACCCCACCA